rnacentral:rRNA from 1 species
UAAUACGAAGGAUGCAAGCGUUAUCCGGAUUUAUUGGGUUUAAAGGGUGCGUAGGCGGUCUUAUAAGUCAGUGGUGAAAUCUUGUCGCUUAACGACAAACGUGCCAUUGAUACUGUAGGACUUGAGUACAGAUGCCGUUGGCGGAAUGUGUCAUGUAGCGGUGAAAUGCAUAGAUAUGACACAGAACACCGAUUGCGAAGGCAGCUGACGAAACUGUAACUGACGCUGAUGCACGAAAGCGUGGGGAUCAAACAGGAUUAGAUACCCUGGUAGUCCACGCCCUAAACUAUGAUUACUCGCUGUCGGCGAUAUACCGUCGGUAGCUAAGCGAAAGCGUUAAGUAAUCCACCUGGGGAGUACGCUCGCAAGGGUG